rnacentral:rRNA from 1 species
UACAGAGGUCUCAAGCGUUGUUCGGAUUCAUUGGGCGUAAAGGUGCGUAGGCGGCGCGGUAAGUCGGGUGUGAAAUCUCGGAGCUUAACUCCGAAACUGCAUUCGAUACUGCCGUGCUUGAGGACUGGAGAGGAGACUGGAAUUUACGGUGUAGCGGUGAAAUGCGUAGAUAUCGUAAGGAAGACCAGUGGCGAGGCGGGUCUCUGGACAGUUCCUGACGCUGAGGCACGAAGGUCAGGGGAGCAAACGGG